rnacentral:rRNA from 1 species
UACGUAGGGGGCAAGCGUUGUCCGGAAUCAUUGGGCGUAAAGAGCGCGUAGGCGGUCCGGUAAGUCCGCUCUGAAAGCCCGGGGCUCAACCCCGGGAGGCGGGCGGAUACUGUCGGGCUAGAGUCCGGAAGAGGCGAGUGGAAUUCCUGGUGUAGCGGUGAAAUGCGCAGAUAUUAGGAAGACACCGGUGGCGAAGGCGGCCAUCUGGCUCGGUACUGACGCUCAGGCGCGAAAGCGUGGGGAGCA